GCCUACGUGGCCAAAUGGAUAAGGCACCGGCCUCCUAAGCCGGGGAUGGCGGGUUCGAGUCCCUCCGGAGGUU
rnacentral:tRNA from 1 species